GACACGGGUCCUUCAGUUAACACCUUGACACGGGUCCUUCAGCUUACACCUGGACACGAGUCCUUCAGUUAACACCUGGACACGAGUCCUUCAGUUAACACCUGUACACGGGUCCUUCAGGUUACACCUGUACACGGGUCCUUCAGGUUACACCUGUACACGGGUCCUUCAGGUAACACCUGUACACGGGUCCUUCAGGUUACACCUGUACACGGGUCCUUCAGGUAACACCU